rnacentral:rRNA from 1 species
CAGCACCCCAAGUGGUCGGGAUGAUUAUUGGGCCUAAAGCAUCCGUAGCCGGCGCUGUAAGUUUUCGGUUAAAUCUGUACGCUCAACGUACAGGCUGCCGGGAAUACUGCAGCGCUAGGGCGUGGGAGAGGUAGACGGUACUCGGUAGGAAGGGGUAAAAUCCUUUGAUCUAUUGAUGACCACCUGUGGCGAAGGCGGUCUACCAGAACACGUCCGACGGUGAGGGAUGAAAGCUGGGGGAGCAAACCGGAUUAGAGACCCGAGUAGUCC